rnacentral:rRNA from 1 species
GUAGGGAAUAUUGGACAAUGGGCGGAAGCCUGAUCCAGCCAUGCCGCGUGGAGGAUGACUGCCCUCUGGGUUGUAAACUCCUUUUGUACAGGAAGAAACCUCCUCAUUUAUGAGUGAGCUGACGGUACUGUAAGAAUAAGCACCGGCUAACUACGUGCCAGCAGCCGCGGUAAUACGUAGGGUGCAAGCGUUAAUCGGAAUUACUGGGCGUAAAGCGUGCGCAGGCGGUGAUGUAAGACAGAUGUGAAAUCCCCGGGCUCAACCUGGGAACUGCAUUUGUGACUGCAUUGCUGGAGUGCGGCAGAGGGGGAUGGAAUUCCGCGUGUAGCAGUGAAAUGCGUAGAUAUGCGGAGGAACACCGAUGGCGAAGGCAAUCCCCUGGGCCUGCACUGACGCUCAUGCACGAAAGCGUGGGGAGCAAACAGGAUUAGAUACCCUAGUAGUCC